CAGGGAGCCUCCCUGAGCGAGGCGAGUUUCCAUGACAUUUUUACAAGUGAGAGGAGAGGGAAAUCUCAUCUCAGGGGAAUCAACUGGCAUAUCAAAGCCAGAGAGAGGGAACGCCAAGGUGUGUGGGUAUCACUUGGCAGAGCAGGGCUGGGGGAGAACAGAAGGCUGCCAUCACUGAUGUGGGUGACAUCGUUAGGUGCGAGGGCUCCUGGGAAAUCUCUACACACGUGUCAGGGGCAGGGCCCAGAGAUGCUCAUGGGAAUUUGUGCUUUGUCCCCUAGGAUUCUUGGGAUGAGCUUCUUAUUGGUGACGUGGAACUGAAAAGGGUGAUGGCUUGUUCCAGAUGCAUUUUAACCACAGUGGACCCAGACACCGGUGUCAUGAGCAGGAAGGAACCGCUGGAAACACUGAAGAGGUAGGACUGGGCAGACGGGGCUCAUCCUCGGGUUUAGGUGCCGGGAACGGAAGCAAUAUUUGUUGCUUAAUGUUUAUAAGAGGAAGCAGUGAAAACACCACACACAUAGUCUUGAAACUCAAGAGGGUCCCAUUAACGAGAUAAUUUGGGAAACAUUCCCUGGUGUUUUGGACACCAACAUGUCUGCUUAAACAAGUACUUUUAUUUUUCAUUUAGAAAUCAUAAUUCAAAUAAAUCAAUGUUUAAAAAUUGCUUAUGCAUUUUGACAAAUUUUAUUACGGGCUAAGUAUUAGAUGAUACCAAAAAAUGUACUAGGUGUCCUAAUGGCAUUGUGGUUGUAUAAGAAAUGUCAAUAUAUUUUAGAGAAGCUGAUUGAAAUAUGUGUGUAGGAGUGAAGUGAUGUGACAUCUGGAACUUGCCAUAUAUUAUUU
rnacentral:lncRNA from 1 species